GAUGAAGAACGUAGCGAAAUGCGAUAAGUAAUGUGAAUUGCAGAAUUCAGUGAAUCAUCGAAUCUUUGAACGCACAUUGCGCCCGCCAGUAUUCUGGCGGGCAUGCCUGUUCGAGCGUCAUUUCAACCAUCAAGCCCCAGGCUUGUGUUGGGGACCUGCGGCUGCCGCAGGCCCUGAAAACCAGUGGCGGGCUCGCUGUCACACCGGGCGUAGUAGAUUUUAUCUCGCUCAGGGCGUGCUGCGGGUUCCGGCCGUUAAAAAGCCUUUUUUACCCAAGGUUGACCUCGGAUCAGGUAGGAAGACCCGCUGAACUUAAGCAUAUCAAUCGGAGGA
rnacentral:misc_RNA from 1 species